AUGCCGCUCACGCGCUCCGAUUUCGGCCGCGGCAUCCACAUCCGCCUGACGACUGCUCGCUACGUUCUGUCAGCC
rnacentral:sRNA from 1 species